UACGUAGGGGGCAAGCGUUGUCCGGAAUCAUUGGGCGUAAAGAGCGUGUAGGCGGCCAGAUAAGUCCGCUGUGAAAUCUCGAGGCUCAACUUCGAGCUGUCGGUGGAAACUGUCUGGCUAGAGUCCGGAAGAGGAGAAUGGAAUUCCUGGUGUAGCGGUGAAAUGCGCAGAUAUCAGGAAGAACACCAAUGGCGAAGGCAGCUCUCUGGGACGGUACUGACGCUGAGACGCGAAAGCGUGGGGGAGCGAACAGG
rnacentral:rRNA from 1 species